GCAGUCGAACGAGUUCUCGUUGAUGAUCGGUGCUUGCACCGAGAUUCAACAUGGAACGAGUGGCGGACGGGUGAGUAACACGUGGGUAACCUGCCCUUAAGUGGGGGAUAACAUUUGGAAACAGAUGCUAAUACCGCAUAGAUCCAAGAACCGCAUGGUUCUUGGCUGAAAGAUGGCGUAAGCUAUCGCUUUUGGAUGGACCCGCGGCGUAUUAGCUAGUUGGUGAGGUAAUGGCUCACCAAGGCGAUGAUACGUAGCCGAACUGAGAGGUUGAUCGGCCACAUUGGGACUGAGACACGGCCCAAACUCCUACGGGAGGCAGCAGUAGGGAAUCUUCCACAAUGGACGCAAGUCUGAUGGAGCAACGCCGCGUGAGUGAAGAAGGCUUUCGGGUCGUAAAACUCUGUUGUUGGAGAAGAAUGGUCGGCAGAGUAACUGUUGUCGGCGUGACGGUAUCCAACCAGAAAGCCACGGCUAACUACGUGCCAGCAGCCGCGGUAAUACGUAGGUGGCAAGCGUUAUCCGGAUUUAUUGGGCGUAAAGCGAGCGCAGGCGGUUUUUUAAGUCUGAUGUGAAAGCCCUCGGCUUAACCGAGGAAGCGCAUCGGAAACUGGGAAACUUGA
rnacentral:rRNA from 2 species